CGUGAGGGAAAGAUGCAAAGAACUUUGAAAAGAGAGUUAAAGAGUACCUGAAAUCGCUGAAAUGGAAGCGAAGGAAACCAGUGGCAUUCCCCAACAUUUUCCCGUGCUGCUUGCGGCAUGGGCGCUGUGUUGGAGAGUCGGCCAGCAUGGGUUUGGACCGGCGGAAGACUUCCCCCAGGAGGCAGCUAGAAUUCCUAGCAAUCACUGAGGGUUGGUGCGCCGGUCGAGACUGAGGCUAGUCACGUUUGUGCUCGUGAUGCUGGCGAAAUGGUUUUCUUUACCCCGUCUUGUAACACGGACCAAGGAGUCUAACAUAUGUGCGAGUUCACGGGUGUUAAACCUGAAUGCGCAAUGAAAGUGACUGCUGGGAUUUUUGCACCAGCAACCGACCAAUCAAUUGUGAGAGGUUUGAGUAUGAGCAUAUCUGUUAGGACCCGAAAGAUGGUGAACUAUGCCUGAAUAGGGCGAAGCCAGGGGAAACUCUGGUGGAGGCUCGUAGCG
rnacentral:rRNA from 14 species